AUUGAACGCUGGCGGCAGGCCUAACACAUGCAAGUCGAACGAGUGGCGGACGGGUGAGUAAUGUCUGGGAAACUGCCUGAUGGAGGGGGAUAACUACUGGAAACAGUAGCUAAUACCGCAUACCAUCGGAUGUGCCCAGAUGGGAUUAGCGAGUUGGUGGGGUAAAGGCUCACCAAGGCGACGAUCCCUAGCUGGUCUGAGAGGAUGACCAGCCACACUGUAACUGAGACACGGUCCAGACUCCUACGGGAGGCAGCAGUGGGGAAUAUUGCACAAUGGGCGAAAGCCUGAUGCAGCCAUUCCGCGUGGAUGAAGAAGGCCUUCGGGUUGUAAAGUACUUUUGGCGGGGAGGCGGUACCCGCAGAAGAAGCACCGGCUAACUCCGUGCCAGCCGCCGCGGUAAUUC
rnacentral:rRNA from 1 species